UUCAGCGCCGAUAGCACGUUGAAUACACCAGUUCACAAUGGAUCAUUGAAGGUAAGCAACGUUGUGCGUGGUUAGUAUCCGGAUGGGUGACCAUCUGAGCAAUCACACGUGCUCCUGGUU
rnacentral:rRNA from 1 species